rnacentral:lncRNA from 1 species
GCUAACAUUUUUCAAGACAAAUAUAAAGACAUGAACACAUACAAAGUGAAUAUGGAACAGAAACCUGAUGAAUCAAAUAAAGAAGGCACAUUUUUACCAUUGGCCCCAGAAGAAGAAUUAUUACUAGAACAAUUUAAAAUAAAACCUAACGAGAUAAAAAAUGAAGAUUUAUCACCAGGGCAAUUAUUAGGCCAAGGGGAUUUCAAUUCAGGUGAGAAAAAUGAGGCCCGGAGAAGAUAUUCAGAUAGUUACCUUCCCAGCUGUGACUUCAUGGCUUCUGGCUCUAAAAUCAAGAACAUAGAGACCCCAAUAAAAAAAGAAAAAGAAGAAGAAGAAAUAGUAGUGGAGGAAGAGAUUAUUAGCACUGGAAAACCUACAGAUGGAAAGGCUAAAAAGAGAUUUUCCUGGUUCCGGUAAGAGAUGUACUUUUUAUAUAUGGAUAACAAUAUUCUUAAUAAACAAAACAUUUUAUUUCUCCUGGAAUUUACC